rnacentral:siRNA from 1 species
UACAAACAUAUGGAUGAUGCA